CAGGACCUCGUUCCAGAGAGCCCACAGGUAGACCUCCCCGUCCCCCUUCAUGCCUCUUCAUCCAUUUCCUGCAAGAACUCCGACACCAGGCCGAAUCCCGCCGGUAGUCACAGGGGGAAGGAGGCAACGGCACUCAGCUCCCCUGUCCAAGAUGAGAUUUUUAGCUUCGAGCAUAGAACAGAGUCGGGUGCGACGCUGGAUGAUGGCAGAACAGAGUCGAAUGGUCAAUGGGGGAAGCACUGGUGGUGGAAGCAGGAAGGCAGCGGGGAAUUGAGCAGCAAAGACUAUGUCAGGGAGUGGAUCGGGACCCAAAUUUGCCCCUCAGGCAAUCCCGAUUGGGAAGACGAGAAGAGGAUUUCUCCCGAGAAGUGUUUUGAUUUCAGGAACUCAAGCCGGGUGGAGAAUCUGGACGUCGGGGACGACACCCUCUUCGGCGACGCCCGUGAUAAGAACACAGAGAAGAAACAGGGGAGGAAGAAAGGCAUUCUCGCCAGUGACAGGAAGGACAGGAAGAUGAGGGAGUGGUGGAAGGAGGAGUACUUCGCAGAAAUCAGCAAGAAGAGUCAUCACAAGAAAGAGAGGAAGUGGUUCCGAACAAUUAGUAGCCGAGAGCAUACCGGUAGCGCCGUCGACGACGAUGCUCGACGCGGCCGAGAUCUGAACGUGGACAUAAGCUUCAGGAAGGGCUGGAAGAAGAAGAGGAGCCGAUCGGCUGGCAGCGACAUGUUCAGCGGCGACAUGUUCAGCAGGGAGCUCAGUAGCACG
rnacentral:lncRNA from 1 species